CUCCUGGAAACGGGUGGUAAUGCCGGAUGCUCCGCCCCCUCGCAUGGGGGGUCGGGAAGGCUUUUGCGGAAUGGGAUGGGGUCGCGUCCUAUCAGCUUGUUGGCGGGGCGACGGCCCACCAAGGCUUCGACGGGUAGCCGGCCUGAGAGGGCGACCGGCCACAUUGGGACUGAGAUACGGCCCAGACUCCUACGGGAGGCAGCAGUGGGGAAUAUUGCACAAUGGGGGGAACCCUGAUGCAGCGACGCCGCGUGCGGGAUGGAGGCCUUCGGGUCGUGAACCGCUUUUGAUUGGGAGCAAGCGUGAGUGGGUGUACCUUUCGAAUAAGCACCGGCUAACUACGUGCCAGCAGCCGCGGUAAUACGUAGGGUGCAAGCGUUGUCCGGAAUCAUUGGGCGUAAAGGGCUCGUAGGCGGUUCGUCGCGUCCGGUGUGAAAGCCCAUCGCUUAACGGUGGGUCUGCGCCGGGUACGGGCGGGCUUGAGUGCGGCAGGGGAGGCUGGAAUUCCCGGUGUAACGGUGGAAUGUGUAGAUAUCGGGAAGAACACC
rnacentral:rRNA from 1 species